GAUGAACGCUGGCGGCGUGCCUAAUACAUGCAAGUCGAGCGAACAGACGAGGAGCUUGCUCCUCUGACGUUAGCGGCGGACGGGUGAGUAACACGUGGAUAACCUACCUAUAAGACUGGGAUAACUUCGGGAAACCGGAGCUAAUACCGGAUAAUAUAUUGAACCGCAUGGUUCAAUAGUGAAAGACGGUUUUGCUGUCACUUAUAGAUGGAUCCGCGCCGCAUUAGCUAGUUGGUAAGGUAACGGCUUACCAAGGCAACGAUGCGUAGCCGACCUGAGAGGGUGAUCGGCCACACUGGAAUUGAGACACGGUCCAGACUCCUACGGGAGGCAGCAGUAGGGAAUCUUCCGCAAUGGGCGAAAGCCUGACGGAGCAACGCCGCGUGAGUGAUGAAGGUCUUCGGAUCGUAAAACUCUGUUAUUAGGGAAGAACAAAUGUGUAAGUAACUAUGCACGCCUUGACGGUACCUAAUCAGAAAGCCACGGCUAACUACGUG
rnacentral:rRNA from 1 species